rnacentral:rRNA from 1 species
AACGUAGGACGCAAGCGUUAUCCGGAGUUACUGGGCGUAAAGCGCGAGCAGGCGGCUCGACAAGUUCGCUGUGAAAGCUCCCGGCUCAACCGGGCGAGGCCAGUGGAAACUAUCGAGCUGGAGGGCAGUAGAGGCAGGCGGAAUUCCAGGUGUAGCGGUGAAAUGCGUAGAUAUCUGGAGGAAUACCGGUGGCGAAGGCGGCAUCCUGGACCGGCAUUGACGCUGAGGCGCGAAAGCCAGGGGAGCAAACGGG